GACGAACCGUGCGAACGUUAUUCGGAAUCACUGGGCUUAAAGCGCGUGUAGGCGGGACGGCACGUCGGUAGCUGAAAUCCCCCGGCUCAACCGGGGAACGGCGCCGCAUACGACCGCCCUCGAGGGACGUAGGGGGACCUGGAACUUCCGGUGGAGCGGUGAAAUGCGUUGAGAUCGGAAGGAACGCCCGUGGCGAAAGCGAGGUCCUGGACGUUUUCUGACGCUGAGACGCGAAAGCCAGGGGAGCGAACGGG
rnacentral:rRNA from 1 species